CGCAGGGAUAGCUGGUGUGCGUGCAGCGGAAGGCGCUAACUGCCCUGGAUGUGGAGACCCGCGGACUGGACGUGAGAGGCGGGCAGGGGCAGUUGGGGCAGCUGCCCCUACAACACUGAAGAAUUGGAAUAGGAAAGAGUGUGGGGGUAGGGGACGGGGACUCUUUGUCUGCAGUUGGAAUGCGCGGAGGGGCAUGGUGGAAUGUGUCGCGUCCCGGGACCGGACGACAGGAGGCAUGUUCUGCGCUAGCACCGUGACUUUGUUCCCAGCGUGGGGACUGUGGGAGAGAUGGAGAGAGACUGGUACAGAAAUGGUGAGACAAGGAGAGAGCCAUAAAGAGGAAGACAGAGAGAAAGAAGACAAAUGCAUAAAGAGGUUCAGAGACGUGUACGUAAAGAUAGCCCUGAAAGGCGACGAAGCCCACAGAGAGAGGUGGAAGAGGGAAGAGGUAGCGAAAGAAAGGGAGAGCUGAGGAGCAAAGAGGAGUGUGGACGAUGCAGAGACCGAAGGGUGCGCAGACAAAGGAAAGGACAAGCUUGUCCAGAGAGAAUGAGAGACAAACAGAUAAACUGCAAUAAAAAGGCACCACCUUCUGGACCCAAAAGUUUUGUGAUUUGUAAAAGCAGUGAAAAGGAGUCAGGAAAAUGGGACUAAUCUCUACUUUGAGAGGGAGGGAAAGAGAUAUAGUGUGUAUGUAGAAGCAGUGAAAAGGAGUGAGGAAAAGGUUUGGGACUAAUCUCUACCUUAAGGGUAGGACAGUUAGAGGGAUAGACACCCCCUGGUGUUGGGAAAUGAGAUUUUUCUCAUUUCAGGUGACUGUGGAGAUCGAAGGCCUGGUUUUAGGGCUAGCGAACACCUUCUCCCUUUGGUUUUGGUCCACAGAAGACUGGUGAUACAGAGUUUGCCUAAAGGACCCACUGCAUUUAUG
rnacentral:lncRNA from 1 species